rnacentral:rRNA from 1 species
AGAGUUUGAUCCUGGCUCAGAACGAACGCUGGCGGCAGGCUUAACACAUGCAAGUCGAACGCCCCGCAAGGGGAGUGGCGGACGGGUGAGUAACGCGUGGGAACGUGCCCUGAGGUUGGGAAUAACUGCGGGAAACUGCAGCUAAUACCCGAUAAGCCCCGCAAGGGGGAAAGAUUUAUCGCCUUAGGAGCGGCCCGCGUCGGAUUAGCUAGUUGGUGGGGUAACGGCCUACCAAGGCUUCGAUCCGUAGCUGGUCUGAGAGGACGAUCAGCCACAUUGGGACUGAGACGCGGCCCAAACUCCUACGGGAGGCAGCAGUGGGGAAUCUUGCGCAAUGGGCGAAAGCCUGACGCAGCCAUGCCGCGUGAAUGAUGAAGGCCUUAGGGUUGUAAAGUUCUUUUACCCGUGACGAUGAUGACGGUAACGGGGGAAUAAGCUCCGGCUAACUUCGUGCCAGCAGCCGCGGUAAUACGAAGGGGGCUAGCGUUGUUCGGAAUUACUGGGCGUAAAGCGCGCGCAGGCGGUUCGAUAAGUUGGGGGUGAAAUCCCCGGGCUCAACCCGGGAAUGGCCCUCAAGACUGUCGAUCUAGAGGACGAGAGAGGUGAGUGGAAUUCCCAGUGUAGAGGUGAAAUUCGUAGAUAUUGGGAAGGACACCGGUGGCGAAGGCGGCUCACUGGCUCGUUUCUGACGCCUGAGGCGCGAAAGCGUGGGGAGCAAACAGGAUUAGAUACCCUGGUAGUCCACGCCGUAAACGAUGAGUGCCAGGUGUUUGGGGAGGCUUUAGCUUCUCGGCGCCGCAGCUAACGCCUUUAAGCACUCCCGUCUGGGGGAGUGCGGGCCGCAAAGGUUAAAAACGUCAAUAG